AUUGAACGCUGGCGGCAGGCCUAACACAUGCAAGUCGAACGAGUGGCGGACGGGUGAGUAAUGUCUGGGAAACUGCCUGAUGGAGGGGGAUAACUACUGGAAACGGUAGCUAAUACCGCAUACCAUCGGAUGUGCCCAGAUGGGAUUAGCUAGUAGGUGGGGGAAAGGCUCACCUAGGCGACGAUCCCUAGCUGGUCUGAGAGGAUGACCAGCAACACUGGAACUGAGACACGGUGAAGACACCUACGGGAGGAAGAAGUGGGGAAUAUGGCAAAAGGGGCGCAAGCCUGAUGCAGCCAGGACGCGGGUAUGAAGAAGGACGUAGGGUUGUAAAGUACUUUAAGCGGGGAGGCGGUACCAGCAGAAGAAGCACCGGCUAACUCCGUGCCAGCAGCCGCGGUAAUAC
rnacentral:rRNA from 1 species